rfam:Rhinocladiella mackenziei CBS 650.93 unplaced genomic scaffold supercont1.1, whole genome shotgun sequence.
GCCCGCGUGGCACAAUUGGUCAGCGCGUGAGACUUUUAAGCAUUCAGAGAUCUCAAGGUUGAGAGUUCGAGCCUCUCCGCGGGCG